rnacentral:rRNA from 1 species
AUACGGAGGGUGCAAGCGUUAAUCGGAAUUACUGGGCGUAAAGAGUACGUAGGUGGUUUGUUAAGUCAGAUGUGAAAGCCCCGGGUUCAACCUGGGAACUGCAUUUGAAACUGGCAAACUAGAGUAUGGUAGAGGGGGGUAGAAUUUCUAGUGUAGCGGUGAAAUGCGUAGAUAUUAGAAGGAAUACCAGUGGCGAAGGCGGCCCCCUGGACCAAUACUGACACUGAGGUACGAAAGCGUGGGUAGCGAACAGGAUUAGAAACCCUAGUAGUCC